rnacentral:rRNA from 2 species
GAUGCUGACGAGUGGCGAACGGGUGAGUAAUACAUCGGAACGUGCCUAGUAGUGGGGGAUAACUACUCGAAAGAGUGGCUAAUACCGCAUGAGAUCUACGGAUGAAAGCAGGGGAUCGCAAGACCUUGUGCUACUAGAGCGGCUGAUGGCAGAUUAGGUAGUUGGUGGGAUAAAAGCUUACCAAGCCGACGAUCUGUAGCUGGUCUGAGAGGACGAUCAGCCACACUGGGACUGAGACACGGCCCAGACUCCUACGGGAGGCAGCAGUGGGGAAUUUUGGACAAUGGGCGAAAGCCUGAUCCAGCAAUGCCGCGUGCAGGAUGAAGGCCUUCGGGUUGUAAACUGCUUUUGUACGGAACGAAAAGCUUCGGGCUAAUACCCUGGAGCCAUGACGGUACCGUAAGAAUAAGCACCGGCUAACUACGUGCCAGCAGCCGCGGUAAUACGUAGGGUGCAAGCGUUAAUCGGAAUUACUGGGCGUAAAGCGUGCGCAGGCGGUUUUGUAAGACAGAGGUGAAAUCCCCGGGCUCAACCUGGGAACUGCCUUUGUGACUGCAAGGCUAGAGUACGGCAGAGGGGGAUGGAAUUC